CGUUGGAGGAGAACUGUCAGCCCUAGUGGUCGGGUAGGAGCCGCAUGCGCUGCAGUACAUAUGGGCACACUGCUAUUUCUGGAGGUACAUGAGGGGAAAGGGGCAGGCUAUGGCUAGCCGGCGCUCCGGUUCCCGUGACUGAAGGUGCCGAGACCUCAUCAAGGAAGGCACUGAAUAUAGCUGGGGGGCUGUGCUGCGAGGAAAGGCAAGCCAGCUUCACGUGCAAGGCUCCAGUCAUGGAUCGUCGAAAUUGGCAGAUGGAGCCUGGUGACUUUGUACUGUGUGUUCUACUGUUGUACUGUGCCAAAGGGGAAACAAGCUGACAAAGGCCUCACGUGUACUGGAAAAGAACCUAAACUGUUACUAAACUUCUGGUUUGAGAACGUGAAGGUGAAACACUAAAUAUGGCAAAGCGGCUACGAUUAGUUUCUGAGAGUGACUUGUGUGAGGUGAAAUAAAAAAGUGUUGAUUGGACAAUUUGUAUACUGUGCCAAAACCCAAGUGAUGAAAAUCUUAUCUGGCCUGAUUUGGGAUAGAUACAUUACACCAAGCAUUAAAGGUGAAACCAGACAGAAGAGAGGUGCAGGAACCAGGAGACAAGUGAUACCGCAUGUCAAAUUACCUAGAAAUUGGCAAGAUUUCUUAAGAAAUUCAAGUAACAAAGAAGAGCUCUUUAAUCUACUUGGAACGUUAGCAAUAAAUACUGUGGCAGAGACAGCAGUUUUCCACGUGAAAGUAAUGUGGAGGAUCCAGACCAGGUUUUAGAACAGUAGCAGACUCCCAGGUCAGAUCAGCAGCACCUGGGAUUUCCUGAUAUAAGGGUUUCCAGGACAGAGUCACCUUGCUCUCGACGGUGGAAUAGCUACCCGAGUGAUAGGCCGGGUUGUGUGGGUUAGACUAGGUACCACUGGAGCCUAUCAAGAGUCUGCUAUGCUGUGAGUACCUGUAUGCUACUGCCUGUAAUACCGACUGUAUGGAAUCAACUUUCUAUGUGGUGACCUGCUGUGCAAAAUAAACACCGAAAGUGUUCAUCU